CUGGUGUUCCCUGACAAGCCCCGGGUCCACGCCGAGGAGGCAGAGGAAAAAUGGCAAAAGCAUCCUGGCAGUUACAAGCGGCAGGAGUCACAGACCAUCCAGGUGGAUCCUACCCUCUCCUGACCUCUCCCUUUCUUCCUCUUACCUCUAACAGGGGGAUAUAUUGGAGAAGUUGGGAAUUUGCUCCACGCCCAGAUUCAUCCAGCUUUUCCAAGACAGCAUGAGAAUAAAGGAGGACCCCAGACUUGUGGUAACCAACCUACAUUUUGGGACCACACCCAUGAGGCUGUUCCAGCUCAAGGAGGCCUCUGCCAGCCCCCGGCGAGGCAUCAUUUUCUUCCACGGAGGGGGCGCGGUCUUAGGGAGCCUGUGGAAGAUGCUUCCUGGCAGCUUUGUAAAGGAAGAGCCCCACCUUCAUGCACGAUUUUGCCUCCCCCCUUUCACAAGAACCUUGUCGGAGAAUCAGCUGCUGGAGAUUUUUAUAGGGAGCCCAGACCAAGGGCAUUGGGCUCAAGUCAGCAGAUGGCGACAGUGUGGAGAGGCCCUCGUGGGGCCGGACAGUGAGAGAGAAACAAACGAGUCGGGUAAUUUCACAUCGUGAGAGUGCAGAGCGACGGAACAGAGAAUGACCCGGUGCUGCUUCAGUUCCUCCAAUCAGAGGAAGCCUCUUCCAGAAGGCAGAGUCUGAGCCGGGGCUUACCCGAUGAGGACCAGUCGACCCUACAGAGGCCAGGAAACUGUGAUCUAAGCUGCCAGGAACAGGGGGAGGCAGGCGAGGCUCUUGCCUUGGGCUCCAUUUAAAGGGGCACCCAAACCCCCAGCAAUCAAGAUCAAUAUUUCUGUGCAAUAUUAAAAAAUCAGUAUUAAUGUAAAAAAACUAAGAUGAACAACAUAUCAAAUAUACCAACGUUUAUCUAAAAGCAGGUUCCCACAGGGCCAGGUAAGUUGUGCAAAAGCAAAGUAUGGUCUUGUCUAUUUAAAAUUUUGAUACGUUGUUCUUUUUUUUUUCAAUUUUGUUUUUUAUUGAAGUGUAGUUAAUUUAUAAUGUUACUUUCAGGUGUACAGCAAAGCAAUUCAGUUAUGCAUAUACAUACAUAAAUAUAUUUUUCAGAUUCUUUGCCUUUAUAUGUUAUUAAAAGAAAUUAAAUAUAGUUCCCUGUGCUGUACAGUAGGUCUUUGUUGUUUAUUUAUUUUAUAUAUAGUAAUGUGUAUCUGUUAAUUUCAAACUCCUAAUUUAUUCCUCCCCACCGCCGUUUCCCCUUUGGUGACCAUAGUUUGUUUUCUAUGUUUGUGAGUCUAUUUUUGGUUUGUAAGUAAGAUUUGUAUCUUUUUUUUUAGAUUCCGCAUAUAAGUGAUGUCAUGCGAUGUUUGUCUUUGACUUAACUUCACUUGGUAUGAUCAUCUUUAAGUCCAUCCAUGUUGCUGCAAAUGGCGUUAUUUCAUUCUUUUUUAACGGCUGAGUAGUAGUCCAUUGUUGGUAUGUUGUUCUUCACAGAUACUUUUGACAUUCAUUUUGAUUCCUUAAAAUAUUGCACCAAAGUAUUAUUUGUCUUGGUUACCGAGUGUUUUGAUGCCUCUUAAUUUUGCACCCAUGGUAAAUGCCUCGCUCACCUCCCCCUGGUUCCAGCUCUGUCAAGUCUAAGCAGGCUUGUGGAGAAACAGGAACUCUCAUUCUCUGCUGGUGUGAAUGCAAAAUGGUACAGCCGCUUUGGAAGACAGUUUGAAAGUUGCUUACAAAGCUAAAUACUCUUACCAUAUGAUCCAGCAGCUGCAUUCCUUGGUAUUUACCCAAAUGAAUUGAAAACUUAUGUCCACCCCCAAACUCAGUGCAUGAUGUUUACAACAUCUUUGUUCAUAAUUGCAAACUUGGAAGCAAGCAGCAUAUUUUUCAUGGUGAAUGGAUAAAUAAUACAUCUAGACAACAGAAUAUUAUUCAGUUCUAAGAAGAAAUGAGCUUUCAAGGCAUGAAAGGACACGAGGAACCUUAAAUGCAUAUCACUAACUGAAAGAGGCCAGUCUGGAACGUCCACAUGCUGUAUUAUUCCAGCUAUCUGCCAUUCUGGAAAAGGCAAAACUAUGGAGACGGUGGAAGGACUAGGGGUUGGCAGCAACUGAGGGGAAGGAGGGAUGACUAGGGACAGCACAGAGGACUUUAGGGCAGCGGAACUACUUGGUGUCAUGGCGAAUAUAUGUCACUAUACAAAACCCAGAGAAAGGACACCACCAAGAAUGAACCCUAGUGUAAAGCAGAGACUCUGGGUGAUAAAGAUAUUUCAGUGCAAGUUCAUUUGUUAUAACAAAGGUACCACUGUGGGCAGCACUGUGUGCAAUAGCCAAGACAUGGAACCAACCUAAAUGUCGACAUAUGACUGGAUAAAGAAAGUGUGGUAUAUUUAUACAAUGGAAUACUACUCAGCCAUAAAGAAGACUAAAAUAAUACCAUUUGCAGCAACAUGGAUGGACCUAGAAACUGUCAUUCUAAGUGAAGUAAGCCAGAAAGAGAAAGAAAUACAUAUGAUAUCAUUCAUAUGUGGAAUCUAAAAAAAAAAAAAAAAAAAGGAAACUAUGAACUCAUCUACAAAACAGAAACAGACUUGAAGACUUAGUGAACAAUCUUAUGGUUACUGGAGAAAGGGGGUGGAAGGGGAUAAAACUGAGAGUUUGAGAUUUACAAAUGUUAGCCACUAUGUAUAAAAAUAGAUUUUAAAAAGUUUCUUUUAUAUAGCACAGGGAACUAUAUUCAAUAUCUUGUAAUAACCUUUAAUGGAAAAAAUAUGAAAACGAAGAUAUGUAUGUUUAUGCAUGACUGGGACAUUGUGCUGUACACCAGAGAUGACAUGUUGUAAUUUAUGGUACUUCAGUUUAAAAAUAAGGUACCACUAUGGUUUGGGAUAUUGAUAGUGGUAGAUGUUGCACACAUGUGGAUACAGGGGAUAUACAGGAACUGUCUUUACUUUCUGUUCAACUUUGCUGUGAACCUAAAACUGGUCUAAAAAAACGAAGCUUAUUAAUUAAAAAAUAAUGGGAAAAGGUUA